GUGGGGAAUAUUCCGCAAUGGACGAAAGUCUGACGGAGCAACGCCGCGUGAGUGAUGAAGGUUUUCGGACUGUAAAGCUCUGUUGUUUGGGACGAAAGUGCCUGUUGCGAACAGUUACGGGUAUUGACGGUACUAAACGAGGAAGCCACGGCUAACUACGUGCCAGCAGCCGCGGUAAUACGUAGGUGGCAAGCGUUGUCCGGAAUUAUUGGGCGUAAAGAGCAUGUAGGCGGGAAUCUAAGUCUGUUGUUAAAAUGCGGGGCUCAACCCCGUAUGGCGAUGGAAACUGGGUUUCUUGAGUGCAGGGGAGGAAAGGGGAAUUCCCAGUGUAGCGGUGAAAUGCGUAGAUAUUGGGAGGAACACCAGUGGCGAAGGCGCCUUUCUGGACUGUGUCUGACGCUGAGAUGCGAAAGCCAGGGUAGCGAACGGGAUUAGAUACCCUGGUAGUCC
rnacentral:rRNA from 1 species